GAUGAACGCUGGCGGCGUGCCUAAUACAUGCAAGUCGAGCGAACAGACGAGGAGCUUGCUCCUCUGACGUUAGCGGCGGACGGGUGAGUAACACGUGGAUAACCUACCUAUAAGACUGGGAUAACUUCGGGAAACCGGAGCUAAUACCGGAUAAUAUAUUGAACCGCAUGGUUCAAUAGUGAAAGACGGUUUUGCUGUCACUUAUAGAUGGAUCCGCGCCGCAUUAGCUAGUUGGUAAGGUAACGGCUUACCAAGGCAACGAUGCGUAGCCGACCUGAGAGGGUGAUCGGCCACACUGGAGCUGAGGCACGGUCCAGACGCCUACGGGAGGCAGCAGUAGGGAAUCUUCCGCAAUGGGCGAAAGCCUGACGGAGCAACGCGGCGUGAGUGAUGAAGGUCUUCGGAGCGUAAAACUCUGUUAUUAGGGAAGAACAAAUGUGGAAGUAACUAUGCACGUCUUGACGGUACCUAAUCAGAAAGCCACGGCUAACUACGUG
rnacentral:rRNA from 1 species